rnacentral:rRNA from 1 species
GACGAAGGUUCCAAGCGUUGUUCGGAAUCAUUGGGCGUAAAGAGUUUGUAGGUGGCUAUAUAAGUCCGAUGUGAAAGCCCGGAGCUUAACUCCGGAAAUGCAUUUGAUACUGUAUAGCUUGAGUACGGAAGAGGGUCGUGGAAUUCCUGGUGUAGUGGUGAAAUACGUAGAUAUCAGGAGGAACAUCGGCGGCGAAGGCGGCGACCUGGUCCGAUACUGACACUGAGAAACGAAAGUGUGGGGAU